GAAAAAUCGAUGACGAGAACAAGUACGUAAGGAAGAACUUUAACAGCGAGCUGGGGGUUGGUGGAAGCCAGUAGGGAAGCCUUAUCGGAAUAAAUCAUCUCUGAGAUGCAAGACUGAAGCUAAGCUGAAUUCAGUAAGUCUUGACGGGUUUCCGCCGUUAAAAGGAACACGUAUGAUUGUACGGUGACAAAGUGCUGUUGGUUUUAUCAACAGAAUUUGGGUGGUAACGCGGGUAAUACACUCGUCCCUAUC
rnacentral:ncRNA from 2 species